AUGCUUCUCUCCAGCACCCUUACCAUUCCGCCCAGCUAAUUUCAAUCAGCACUUCAGGGCUCAGGGAAAAUGCCAUCCUUAAGCCAUCAAGUGACACUAAAUGCCCACUUCCAUCCCUCUCUCCCCCAAGGGAUCUGAUUUUAAGAGUGGGAUUUAUCCCUCAAUUACUGUUAAUUUCAGGCACCUAUCACCAUGCUUGGCAAAUAAAAUUCAUCUAAUGAGAUUGGUAUUGAUUUUCCUUUUCUUUUUCUCCCUUUGAGGUCUGCUCUAUUUUGCAUAGCUACCAUAUAAUUUAGGGGGUAGUAAUCUUAGAUUUCCCUAUCUGCCAGAACUUUGGGGUUGAUGCUAUGCUAAUUAAGCAUUAAUUUAACUAUAUCCCUACAUCCCUUCUCUUUUAAAUACUCCCUUUUAUACCUCUACUUUCUUAGAGUUGUCAGUUUCCACCAUCAGAUGGGUAGGGUGUCUGUCAUUUUGUCUACUUCACCUAUUAAUAAAGGAGAUGGAUUGAGAAUUGCAAAGCCAAGAUACAUAAAUAAUCAUAACUAUAUGUUGAGAGUUCUCAAAGAUAAAGAAAGAAAUAAAGAUGCUGGUCAAACAACUCCACAAAAACAAACAAGCAACAAAAGCCGAGAACAACAACAAUAAGAAAAAAUGAGGACUCCAAUGAUAAGUUGACUUUUUCUAUUUUCCCAGAUAUUAUGUCCCCUAAUAUAACCAUAUGAAAUGGGUUGUUAUUUAGGAGAGAGUGAAAAUUAGAAAGAAACUGUAGAGUAUGGAAAUGUGGGUUUUCUUCUUCUUUCUCAUGUAAACCUCAUUUAUAACAUUCCCACCAUAUAAGUAAUAACAAUAUUGGACUUAGAUUAAUGGAAAAACUAGACCCCCUCAAAUAAAUUGACAUAUUAAAAAGAAUUUAUUGUAUGUAAUACUUAUGGUGAAAGUCAGCAUAGUCAGAACCCAUAAAAGAGACACUGGCUUUCAAGACCAGCCCCUAUGCAGGUCCCCAAAUCUUCACUGCGUGCACAGCUAUAAAGGUUACUGUGCAUAAACAAGGUCCAAACCAGAUAGUUUGGGUUUCUGGUGCCCAACUAUUUUCCAUAAAUCCAGAUCCAUAAUGCACACAGACUGAUCUGAAUCUGAGCCAAGGACCAGCCCACUGGAGUCACACACCUCAUCCAUCUUGGAGUUACACAUCAAUACGUGAAUGGAUUACAAGGCUCAGGACAGUUCACUCAGCAUAAUCACCAUUCACAUUUAUCACCCUCAGCCUUCUUAGGCCAACACAGUUGACUGCAAGCACAUCUCUCAGCAAAGUAGAGUAGAAGGCAAGGACGGGCCAGUUACCCACUCAUCUUGAAGAGUCCUGCCUCAAAAGAUGCCAAUUAGGCUCCAGUGCUAAUUCCGAAGUUAUGUUUUUUUGUGUUAUUUUGUUCUGUUUUAACUAACUUGCAAAUGUUUAUAUGUUAAUUCCCAUAAUAUUCCCACAAGCAAGAAGCAACUGAUACCUUCCCCUAAGAUUCUGAGUCAAGUCAGACUUUAGUCUUCCGUAAUGUCACCCUAAAAGCACACAGAUGCCUGCUAGGGAAAAAUAGAUCCUGAUCCUCCUAAAAUGCCAUUAAGUAUUUAAAACAAAGCUAAUAGCAUAGGGAAAUCUACUCAAUAGUUUGUAAUAACCUAUAGGGGAAAAAAAAGAACUGAUAAAUUAAUAUGUAGAACUGACUCACUAGACUGUACACCUGAAACUAAUACAACAUUGUAAGUCAACUAUACCCCAACAAAAUUUUAAAAAUAAAAAAGAUAAAAUCGGAAAGUUUGAAAGAAUUUUUUAAAAAUAAAACAAAGCUAAUAGUCCUGGAAACCCUAGGAAAACUGACAAAAUCUUGUUUGAGGCUCUGCACAGUCACUGAACAUUUUUCCUUCCCACCAGAAAACCACACCCAGCAAAACCUUAAAUGUACCUGGCAAAGAAUUCCAGUCCCUCCUGUUUCUGCUCAGAGAGAUAUAUCCACAACUAAGUCUAAAUCUACAUUUGAAUAUCUACAUCUCCCUUAUAGAGAGUCACACACACAGACAUUCAAACAUAUACAAAUGUAUAUAUGUGUGUGUGUAUGUAUGUAAUAUAUAUGUAUCUAUAUAACAUAUAAUGUAUCCUAUAAUAGAGUAUAUUACACUUAUACAUGUGAUGUUCUUCAUCAUGAUACACAGGAUUAAAGAAAUAGCACAGUAAUAAAAGUUAUAUCUCAUGAAGCAAUAAUUUACAGAUAAGUUCAUUAAUAUUACACGUGGCACAGCAUUCCUAAGGGAUACUCUGUAACUACUAAGUUCAUCAGCAUUUUUUUUUUUUUUUGUCUUUUUGCCGUUUCUUGGGCCACUCCUGCAGCAUAUGGAGAUUCACAGGCUGGGGUCGAAUUGGAGCUGUAGCCGCCAGCCUAUGCCAGAACCACAGCAACUCAGGAUCCGAGCCAUGUCUGCAACCUAUACCACAGCUCACAACAACGCUGGGUCCUUAACCCACUGAGUGAGGCCAGGGAUCGAACCUGAAACCUCAUGGUUCCUAGUCGGAUUCAUUAACCACUGAGCCACGAUGGGAACUUCUCAUCAGCAGUUUUGAGCAAUGCCUAAGUCUCCCUAUGGCAUUUUCACAAACAACACUUUUUCAUGCCUGAGAUAGGUUCAAAGUAAAAAUUUUGUACCCCCAAGUUCCAGGGCCAUAUCGAGGUUAAUUUGGCCCCAGCCUUGUUCCUGGCACAAGUUCACUUAGUAACUGACAAGAACAGUGAAGAUCAUUCCCAGUGGUGACUUUGGUGAGGCAGUAGGAUAGCAAUCUCAUUAGGCCCCUUCAAAGGACAAACUAGCCACUGAAUUUGAAGAGGUGGUGGGAAGGCGGGUUGUGAGAAUCUUAUACCCAUGUUAGGUUCAGAACCCUUUGAAGGGCAAGAGGUGUGUGUCCACAUCACGUGUGAGAUUCUUCAAGAGCUUUCAUCUGCUCUUUGGCCAACCUGGGCUUCUACUUGCUGGCAGAAGGGACUGAUAUCCCUGGAACAGUCAGCCAGAUGGGUGGUAUGAAAGGCGAUGGGGUAACUCAGUCAUUCCUGAAUGCUCAAUUUCCCUUUCCUUUCAUCCUAGUCCCUAUCUUCAGCUGAUCAAUUACCUGGUUACAUUAAUUCAUGCCAAGUUGCAAAUGAUGGCUAAGCAUAACUCUUAUAACCUCCCUAGAGAUGACCAUUUGGGGAUUUGGAAGUAGCUUCUUCUGCCCAAAAAACUGCUCAUCAGCACAGAUGUGUGGAAGUUUUUUGUGAGCAGGGAGACCUUCCUGGGGAGUCUUUCCCCUUAGCAAACAAGUAAUCACACAUCCCGGUCAAGACAACAGAGGUCUGGAACUAGGAACCUGGUUUCCAAAAGAACUGUCAGUUGCUGGAUUUUAUCUUCUUUAUAUUGAGGGUCAAAUCUCAACCGAAAUAUUUAUUUCUUAUAUUUUUUUAAGGCUGCACCCAUGGCAUAUGGAAGCUCCCAGGCUAGGGGUCAAAUUGGAGCUACAGCUGCCAGUCUACACCACAGCCACAGCCACAUGGGAUCCGAGCAGCAUCUGCGACCUACAUCACAGCUCACAACAAUGCUGGGUCCUUAACCCACUGAGUGAGACCAGGAAUCGAACCUAUGUCCUCAUGGAUGCUAGUCAGAUUCGUUUCCGCAGGGCCACAAUGCGAACUCCUAUAUUUUUCAACAGGUAAAUAACUAUGGACACUUACCACAUACCAGACCUUAUACUAGGUACUGAGAUAAAGGAACAGAAAAAAAAACGUAGUCCUUGCCUGAAGUUAACACCGAAAAAAAAAAAAAUGCUCUUAAUGUUACUUUUAAGUGUCCCCUUUUCAAGGGGAAUUUUUGGGAAAAUGCCAAAGGAUUUUACUCAAUACUGUGGAAAGCAAGAAGAGAAUGGACAUCAAGAUUGCAAAACUGCAAGAGCUAUCAACACAAUCUAGAAAUCAUGCAAAAUUUCAAGGCCAUUAGAUUCUAUCUUUACAGUCUUAACCUGUCUCCAUGAGAUCACGUCAAUGUAGCCAUCUUCACCACAUGCCCACUCCUACCCCCAGGCAUGUUGGGCCCUUCUUGGAGAAAGGCAAGAGAACAAGGCCCUUCAGGUUCUUUAGAUUCCAGUGUGAGGCCUGAAGAGUGGCCAAGACCAAGCGUGACCCUGCCCUAAGGGGUAUCCACACCGACAACACCUGCACGUUGCAGCUCUGGCUACCUCUAGCUAGACAGUGCAUCUGCAAGGAUAUGGCUCCACAGAUGAUAGCAACCGAACACUCAAGCUUAAACCGCCCAGGGUUAAAUAUUAAAUUGACACAAAUAGCUGCAGCAUUGAGUGUGGUGGACAGGAAAUGUGCCUCUGGAUAUGCACAUUCCCUGUGGGGCGGAAAGCAAGGUUGUGAGGAAAAGGCUGCAUGAGACAGCAGUCUGGAGUGAUGAGAAGGACAGUGUUUCAGGGGUGGGGUUGGGGGUAUGGAAGUACUUGUAUUCUUAAUGUCCAAGAGACUUGUUCUUUCUUUUUACAUUUAAAACAUCUAGUUUGUUGUUAGGGGUUUUAGUGGGUGCAAUAUCUUUUAUUUUUUUAAAGAUACUGGAAGAUUGACCACUGCCGCACCAAAGAGAAUUUCUCCUGGGUCUCUUCCUUUCCAUCAAAGGGAAUGAUAAUUCAAAAGUUUUAACCAUUAAGAAAAUAUCACACAGGAGUUCCCACUGUGGCUCAGCAGAUUAAGAACCUAACAUGGCCUCCAUAAGGAUGUGGAUUCAAUCCCUGGCCUUGCCCAGUGGGUUAAGGAUCCAGUGGCUGUGGUGCAGGCUUCAGCAGCAGCUCCAAUUCCAUCCCUGGCCUGGGAACUCCAUAUGUCUCAGGUG
rnacentral:lncRNA from 1 species